AACGCGAAGAACCUUACCCAGACUUGACAUACAGUGGAAGUUUGCAGAAAUGCAAACGCCCUUCGGGGCUGCUGAACAGGUGCUGCAUGGCUGUCGUCAGCUCGUGCCGUGAGGUGUUGGGUUAAGUCCCGCAACGAGCGCAACCCUUAUCGUUAGUUGCCAACAGGUAAUGCUGGGAACUCUAGCGAGACUGCCUGGGUUAACCAGGAGGAAGGUGAGGAUGACGUCAAGUCCGCAUGGCCCUUAUGUCUGGGGCUACACACGUGCUACAAUGGUCGGUACAGAAAGCAGCGAAACCGUGAGGUGAAGCAAAUCUCCAAAGCCGGCCCCAGUUCAGAUUGUAGUCUGCAACUCGACUACAUGAAGACGGAAUUGCUAGUAAUGGCAGGUCAGCAACACUGCCGUGAAUACGUUCCCGGGCCUUGUACACACCGCUCGUC
rnacentral:rRNA from 1 species